rnacentral:rRNA from 1 species
UACGUAGGUGGCAAGCGUUAUCCGGAAUUAUUGGGCGUAAAGAGCGCGCAGGUGGUUAAUUAAGUCUGAUGUGAAAGCCCACGGCUUAACCGUGGAGGGUCAUUGGAAACUGGUUGACUUGAGUGCAGAAGAGGGAAGUGGAAUUCCAUGUGUAGCGGUGAAAUGCGUAGAGAUAUGGAGGAACACCAGUGGCGAAGGCGGCUUCCUGGUCUGCAACUGACACUGAGGCGCGAAAGCGUGGGGAGCGAACAGG